AUGCUUCUUCAGACUCUUAAACCGCUGCUGUUCCGUUGCAGGAGUCUCCCGCUGGCGUGUACGCGAUCGUAUUACGGUGACAAAGUCGCCCGGCUCGUCUCUCAGCCUGAUAAACACUCUGCCGACUAUCAGGAGAAUUAUGAGCGGAUGCAAGCUCUUGUUGAUGAAUUGAAAAGCCGGACAGAGAAGAUUAAAUUAGGUGGGGGAGAGAAAGCCAGAAAACUUCACACUUCUCGUGGUAAACUCUUACCCAGGGAACGCAUCGACAGACUCCUGGAUCCAGGGACUCCCUUUUUAGAGUUUUCCCAGUUUGCAGCGUACGAGUUGUAUGGACAAGAGGAAGUGCCAGCAGGCGGGAUGAUCACUGGGAUUGGACGAGUGUCUGGGGUAGAAUGUGUCAUCGUUGCCAAUGAUGCCACAGUCAAAGGUGGAACGUACUACCCCGUUACAGUCAAGAAGCAUCUUCGUGCACAAGAAAUCGCCCAGCAGAACCAUUUGCCCUGCAUCUACUUAGUGGAUUCAGGAGGCGCCAAUCUUCCCCGACAGGCAGACGUUUUUCCCGACAGAGAUCACUUUGGCCGUAUUUUCUACAACCAGGCUCGGCUGUCAUCAGAGGGAAUAGCGCAGAUUGCCGUGGUGAUGGGCUCCUGCACGGCCGGCGGAGCGUACGUCCCGGCCAUGGCGGAUGAAAGCAUCAUCGUCCGAAAGCAAGGGACUAUUUUCCUCGGCGGACCUCCACUGGUCAAAGCGGCUACUGGAGAGCAAGUUUCUGCCGAGGACCUCGGAGGGGCCGAUCUUCACUGCAGGAAGUCCGGUGUGACGGACCAUUACGCUUUGGACGACAACCACGCUCUUCAUUUAGCGCGGAAGGCCGUACGAAGCCUCAAUUACAAGAAAACUCUUGACGUUACUACCGAACCCACCGAAGCUCCUCUUUACCCCGCGGACGAACUCUACGGCAUCGUCGGGGACAAUCUCAAACGCAACUUUGACGUCCGAGAGGUCAUCGCCAGAAUUGUCGACGGGAGUAAAUUGGAUGAAUUCAAGGCACUCUAUGGAGACACGCUUGUGACAGGAUUUUCCAGAAUAUUCGGUUACCCCGUCGGAAUCAUCGGCAACAACGGGGUGCUCUUUUCGGAAUCUGCAAAAAAGGGCACGCAUUUCAUCGAGUUGUGUUGCCAGCGAAACGUUCCGCUUAUUUUCCUGCAAAAUAUAACAGGUUUCAUGGUGGGCAGAGAGUAUGAAGCCGGCGGUAUCGCCAAGGACGGCGCCAAGAUGGUCACCGCUGUGGCCUGCGCUAAUGUCCCCAAGGUGACCGUCAUCAUCGGCGGCUCUUACGGGGCAGGCAACUACGGCAUGUGCGGCCGGGCCUACAGCCCCCGUUUCCUCUACAUGUGGCCAAAUUCCAGGAUCUCCGUCAUGGGCGGGGAGCAGGCCGCCACCGUCCUGGCCACCAUCACCAAGGACCAACGAGCCAGAGAGGGAAAAGAGUUCACCGCAGAGCAGGAAGCCGCCAUGAAAGAGCCAAUAGUGCGGCGAUUUGAAGAAGAGGGAAGUCCCUACUACUCCAGCGCCAGACUAUGGGAUGACGGAAUUAUCGAUCCGGCUGACACUCGCCUGGUGCUGGGACUAAGUCUGAGUGCCGCACUUAACGCACCAACGAAGAAGACCCGUUUCGGAGUGUUCCGAAUGUGAUGCGCCCAGCCUGGUCAUGUCCACGCUUGUCUCUUACGUAGUUUUGUUUUGUGUGUCACAAAAAACAGAAGCUUAUUGGAUUAUGAAUUGACCGGUUGGUUAUUAGGGGCCAGUGUGAAACUGUGCCUCCUUAACUGUUACAAUUUGUAAAUGACUGUGCUUUAAAUAUUAUAAAUUGUCUAAACACGAGACGACUUUUCUUCAGAAGUGUCACAUUUUGACGGAUUAUCUAUCACACUGUUGAGUCAAAAACAUCUUCCUGGAACAAACCGCCGCCUUUGAGUAUUGACAGAACGGCAGCAUUGUUGAAACUUCCAAACACGUAUCUGGAGAAGGGGCGACCCAGGAACGAAUCGGGAUGCGGUGAUGUCGCAUGCAAAGCCCUGGCGGAUGUGUACCAAAGUUUACGUGGUCAGUGUAUUUCUAUACCUUAACACGACAAU